rnacentral:rRNA from 1 species
UGGGGAAUUUUGGACAAUGGGGGAAACCCUGAUCCAGCCAUCCCGCGUGUGCGAUGAAGGCCUUCGGGUUGUAAAGCACUUUUGGCAGGAAAGAAACGUCGCGGGUUAAUACCCCGCGAAACUGACGGUACCUGCAGAAUAAGCACCGGCUAACUACGUGCCAGCAGCCGCGGUAAUACGUAGGGUGCAAGCGUUAAUCGGAAUUACUGGGCGUAAAGCGUGCGCAGGCGGUUCGGAAAGAAAGAUGUGAAAUCCCAGAGCUUAACUUUGGAACUGCAUUUUUAACUACCGGGCUAGAGUGUGUCAGAGGGAGAUGGAAUUCCGCGUGUAGCAGUGAAAUGCGUAGAUAUGCGGAGGAACACCGAUGGCGAAGGCAGCCUCCUGGGAUAACACUGACGCUCAUGCACGAAAGCGUGGGGAGCAAACAGGAUUAGAUACCCUGGUAGUCCACGCCCCUAAACGAUGUCAACUAGCUGUUGGGGGCCCUUCGGGCCUUGGUAGCGCAGCUAACGCGUGAAGUUGACCGCCUGGGGAGUNCGGUC